rnacentral:lncRNA from 1 species
GUGGUGUGUAAUAGUGGUAUAUAGAUGGUGGUGUGUAAUAGUGGUAUAUAGAUGGUGGUGUGUAAUAGUGGUAUAUAGAUGGUGGUGUGUAAUAGUGGUAUAUAGAUGGUGGUGUGUAAUAGUGGUAUAUAGAUGGUGUGUAAUAGUGGUAUAUAGGUGGUGGUGGUGUGUAAUAGUGGUAUAUAGAUGGUGGUGUGUAAUAGUGGUAUAUAGAGGGUGGUGUGUAAUAGUGGUAUAUAGAUGGUGGUGUGUAAUAGUGGUAUAUAGAUGGUGGUGUGUAAUAGUGGUAUAUAGAUGAUGGUGGUGUGUAAUAGUGGUAUAUAGAGGGUGGUGGUGUGUAAUAGUGGUAUAUAGAUGGUGGUGGUGUGUAAUAGUGGUAUAUAGAUGGUGGUGUGUAAUAGUGGUAUAUAGAUGGUGGUGUGUAAUAGUGGUAUAUAGAUGGUGGUGUGUAAUAGUGGUAUAUAGAGUUGUGGUGGUGUGUAAUAGUGGUAUAUAGAUGGUGGUGUGUAAUAGUGGUAUAUAGAUGGUGGUGUGUAAUAGUGGUAUAUAGAUGGUGGUGUGUAAUAGUGGUAUAUAGGUUAUGGUGGUGUGUAAUAGUG